rnacentral:rRNA from 1 species
CCUACGGGUGGCUGCAGUUUCGAAUCAUUCACAAUGGGCGAAAGCCUGAUGGUGCGACGCCGCGUGGGGGACGAAGGUCUUCGGAUUGUAAACCCCUGUCACCGGGGAAGAAACGCUGUAUUUUAAUAGAAUACAGCCUGACUUAACCCGGAGAGGAAGCAGUGGCUAACUCUGUGCCAGCAGCCGCGGUAAUACAGAGACUGCAAGCGUUAUUCGGAUUCACUGGGCGUAAAGGGUGCGCAGGCGGUCGUGUGUGUCAGGUGUGAAAGCCCGGA